rnacentral:lncRNA from 1 species
GUGUCAGCUAUUUGAGCCUCAUGAACCCCUGGUUAUACUUGUUGAGUACGAUAUGUGCUCACUCUUGCAAUUUCCCCCCACACCUCAGGAGAAGUUUUGGGCUUGUGAUCAACCAGUCAGUUGGAUCCUGUGGAGAGGAGUUAAUACCCGAAGUUUAAAGUUGUCUAUCCGUUGUUUGCUAUUAAAGGUUAUCUCUUUAAUAUUAUGUACGUUAUAUAUUUAUGCAUUGUUCUUUGAUAUUAACCCUUAUUUGUAGCUAUAUGUGAGAUUUGACUUCUAAAAUUCACAUAUGGUGCAUAUCUGGUUUUGUCCUUAAAAUCGGGUAUUACAAAGUGGUAUCAAAGCAAUGCUGACUGUAGGACGCAAGCCUAGUUAGAAAUUGGUCAUCUUAAGGUUUUGGAAUUGUCAUAAAAUCCUUGCUCUAUAAACCUUGAUAUUUUCAUCCAUACUAUAUCCCUAUCCUUGCUAUUUCUCUACCUUGUUGCUUAUUUUAAGAGUACUUGCUCUCACCUUCACUCCUUGCUUUGAAUAUGCUUUUAGAACCUUGUCUUACCACCUGCUUACAUAGUUGAAAGAGAAUUUUAGGAAUCUUUGCCCUUAAUAGGAAGAGAACGAUAGUACCGCAAGUUGAGUUAAUGCUUGAAGUGUGAACCUUUGAUGCUUGGUUUGGUUUGUUAUUAUGCUUAUGAUUGAUUUGGAUCUUUGUAAUGAGUGCAAUGAUCUUGUGGGUUUUCUCCACGAUAUCAUUUAGUUUAUAGGCCUAAGGCAUAAGGAGUAGUGAAAUAAGUAGUUGGGUUUGGUUAUAUCCUGUUUCUAUCCUUUGCUGUUUUCUGAAGCAGACUGCAAUAAUUCUGGUGUAUCUCAAGUUCUGAUCAUGCAACGUCUAUCAAAUUUUUCUGGGAACAACUAGACUUCAAGAUAUUUCUCUGACCGCAAGGAUCACCCUCAUAUCUAUUAUGGUUUGGAAGUUACAAAAAUCACAAGAUGAUACAGAUGUGCUGUCCAGAGUCUAGACCAGUUUCGGGAACUUGCUGUUUGAGACAAAUAUAACUAGAGAAUUUGGAAAAGUGUUCUAUAGAAAAGUUAUAGACGACUUGCUAAGCUUUCCAACAGUAUAAGCUGGAAGUUAUUUGGCUAAGUAGAACCUGAGAUAUGAUACUUAAAAUUGGAUGUUUCCAUUCUGUAUCAAAGUCUGGACAGUUUUGGUAUUCCCUAUUUUCGGCCAAGUUAAAGACAGAAUCUGGGAAAACAUGGUAUACGAAAGUUGUAGAGGAUUUCCUAAGCUUUUCAAAAAUGUAAGGAUCAUCUCCAGAUGAGUUAAGUAGCUCGAGAUAUAAUUUCUGGAAGUUACUACACCUUUGCUGAGACAUUAUCAGAAAGGAUAUUAUGUUUGGUUAUUCUACCUAUUCUUAAAUACAGAACCUAAGGAGGACUUCUACAUGAAAGUUGUAGGGAAUUUCAUAAGUUUUCUAACGAUAUAAUCUGCAACUCUAUUGGAUUAACAGAAUAAGAGUUAUACCUGUUUUACUAUGCUGGUAUUUUUCAUAUCGCGAGGAAAUUUCAGGAUACCUGUUUGCUCCACUGCACAUGAGUUCUUUGGGAUGUCAGAAGUUCUCAAUGUACUUGUUUGGAAAGUAUGCAAGCUACCUUUCUUGUGUCCCCUAAUUGACCUUUUCUAAGGGGGUAGCCUAAUUAAAGAAAUUACAAGGAGAAGAAGUGGGUAAUGAGUGGAACAUUUAUAAGUACAUCAAAUGCAAGUAUGUUUGGUUUGUUCAAUAUAUCAUUCUAUUUGGAGUGUGCUAAUACCAAUGGAGGUUUAUGUCAUUGCUGAUACUCAUGGAUUGAGAGUUAUGUUUAUGAGGAUCAGAUGACACCAAAGUUUACGAAGUUAAAAGUGGGAUGCGAGAGUGAAGCCACUUAACUGUGAUAAAGGUACUAAUAGUUGGAACUUAGUGAUGAAGCCAACCUUGGAUCAAGAGACUCGGUACAUCGAAUUUUAAAGACUAUAUGAUGUGUCGCGUCUAAAAAGGAUAGGAGAAGUAGUCGCUAGUGUUCCCCAAUCAAUCUCAUUUUAAGGGGGGUAGUACCCUGCUAUCACAGGAUGAUGCAUUUUAAAGUGAUAAUGGUCUUCUAAGAUGUUCUAUGGUUAUGAUCAUCUAUCCUUGCCGUGUUACCGACGUUGGUCACUUGAUGACAGGGAGUGUAGUGUCCCAUGGAUUCGGAGCACAAUAUGACACCUCUCAUGGAUAGGUGGGAAGAUUAUGAUCAUCUUGCCUUUGAAGAAAGAUGCUAUGAGUAUGACAAAGCUGAGUGUUAUCAAAAUAAUAUUGAGGAGCAUGUUGACAAUGAAUCAAAUCAAAAUCCACAACGACGGAAGCGUAAAAGGAAAGCUCGUAAGAAGCCUGCUCACGGAAAUAAAGUACAGCAAAAUUAUAUCAAGGGAAGACUGAACAAUGUGGAUAUGCAUAACAUUCAAGGAGCCACCAAAGUGGUGGGAGGUUAUAUUCAAGUGGACUCAGUGCUAGUUUUUGCUCUGUUUGACCGAAGUGCUUGCAUUUGGAAUACAAGUUGUCAAGUUGAAAUAAUGCACAAUAUCUUAUUCUUGUUUCUCUUUUGGAACUCGUGCCUCUUCCGAAUCUCGAGGACGAGAUUCAUUUUAAGGGGGGUAGAUUUGUAACACCCUAAAAUUGACUCCUUUUUGAAAUAGGUGAAAAUGAUUUAAUUAUGAAUUUUUGAGCUUAUGAAACAUAGGAAAAUAAUAUUUUUCAUUUAAUUAAAAUUUAUCAUAGGGUGUAGCAACUUGUUGUGCAUUCAUAUUGGAGCAUUAUUUUCAUUGUAUUGUGUGGAUUUGAUUAAAGGUAAGUUAAACUGAUUUUAAAAUGAUUUUUCAAACUUGUUUUUGAAAUGGCCUUGAAACAAAAGAAAAUAAAAAGAAAAAAAAAGGGAGACAGCUCCCUGGGUCUGGCCGAGGCCCGCUUCCCUUUUCCCUCUGGCCUGCUUCCCCUCCCCCGCGGCCCGCUCCCCUCUUUGGCCCAGUACGCGCAACCGGCCCAGCUCCUGGCCUACCCCGCGCCCUCUCCUUCUCUCUUUCUCUGACCAGUGGACCCCACCCGACAGCCAGCCUUCUUCAACCCCAAGUCGGAGUCGUGCUGGACUCUCGACCGGGUGUCAAAACCCGAUACGCACGGGAUUCCUUGCCAUCCACGGUGAACCGAGCCCUAUAAAACUCCCAAAUCCACCCCGCAACACCCCUUUGCAUCCAUGUUGCGAAACCAAGCCCUAGGUCGCCGUGUUCUCUUGAGUUGGAUCUCGGCGAGGCCGACCUUGUUCUCGACCGCGGCAAGCCCUCUUCGCUCUCCCUCGGCUCCAGAUUAGGCCCUAGAUGAGUUCGGCACGAGAUUCUCCUCCGCCCGGUGUAUUCUUUUUGCGUUCUAGUGGCCGGAAUCGCUCAAACCGAGAACUCCGGCGAGCCUCCAAUGGCGCCGCCGCGCUGGAGCUCCACCCGGCGGCCGACCCCUGCCGUGACCUCCUUGGGACGCUGCGGACCGUCCGAUCAAGCACCAGCGAACGAGAUUAGAAGGUCGGUGUAACUCUUGCUAAAGAACCCCUGCUCUUUUUAAGAAUAAACCCGCAGUCCAAAGCGGAUUUCAAAAAUACGCUUUCUCUUUUAGAAAACGGAAAACAACCAGAUUGACUCCGAGAAUACGUUUUCUUGUAUUUACAAAACUGCCACUGAUUUUAUCUAGCUCAUAAAAUAUUCAUCUUAAUUCCGUUUUUGUCCAUUCAAAUUGCGUUGAAUUCAUAUUAAUGAGCUCUACAUGUUAGUAAAAUUGUUUACUCAGUUUGAAACUUUUUAAUUUCGUGGUCCUAUUUAAUUAAUUAUUUAUCUAUAGGAAAUCUUAGAAAAUUCAUAUCUUCUACGUUUUAACUCCGAUUUUCGUGAUCUUUACGUUUGUGUGAUCGUAGUGCUGCGUAGAAUAUUUUCAUAAACUUUUAUCUUUUAUUUCUCACUGUUUGGUGUAUUGUUCUAAUUAUAGCUUGUUUGCUUCGUGUAUGAUUGUCUACAUUGGAUUGCGUGUAGUUGAUUGAUGAUUGAGUUUAGACGUGAGCCGUACGUUGGUGAGCAAGAUCAAGCUUUUGGACGACCAGCAGGCUCAGGAGAGCUUUGAUCAAGGCAAGUAUAACUUGGGAUCAUCCUUGUUACCUAUACACAAUUAAUACAAUAUCUAUCAUAUGCAUGUGUCCACCUUGAUGACCUUAGCAAAAUCAUAGAUGAUUGUUAUCCUGAAUUCCUUGUUACCUAUUUUGAUAUGCAUUUGGGUAGUUUUGCUAGUGCUUGAUUAUAAUCCAUGAUCUUGUAACAUGAAUGUUUGGAUAAACAAUAAACAAUAAAAUAAACUUUCUAGCAACUUGAAUAUAAAGGGUGGAAAGAACUCUGGCUUUGCAGGAUUGAUCUUGACCCUCCAUAAGGACUUAUCCCUUGGCAAAAGCUGGGACAACUCGUACAACCAUGAGGGCUAUAUGGCUCUGGUUUUAGCUCAGUAUGAGGACCUUUUUCUAGCUUGUUAGCGGUUACCUUAAAUGGCGUAAGAAUGGCUAGACACGUUGGGUAUAGUGCGGCCUCUGUCCAUGUGUAUAGGCUGCGAGUUAUGUGUCAUGGAAGGGGGGCUCUAUAUCUGCCUGCCGAGUGAAUCUAAUGGCCCUAACUUGUUAGACGAAACCUUUGAAAGGCUUCAUAGUGAUCCCUGCCGACCUCCCUAGGAAGGUGGUUAAGAGACUUGCAACCUCGGGCGAAAGGGUAAAUCACGACUCAUGGGUAAAGAUGUACAACCUCUGCAGAGUGUUAAAUCUGGUAUACUAGCCGUGCCCACGGAUACGGGCGGCCCGGAAAACUGACGGAAUAGAUGGACACUGAUGAACGUGAAUAAUGAUAAUAACUGAUGGUUUAUUAUGUUGUUUAUAUGUGUUAUUCUUAAUUCUUGUAUACAUUGAUCAUGUGGUUAUGAGAUUAAUUAUGCUACCUUGACAUUUGCUAUCCAAUGAUUAAACAUGCUAUCAACUAUUAAAAGCUAAAUGCAGUCAAACCAGUGUCAGCUAUUUGAGCCUCAUGAACCCCUGGUUAUACUUGUUGAGUACGAUAUGUGCUCACUCUUGCAAUUUCCCCCCACACCUCAGGAGACGUUUUGGGCUUGUGAUCAACCAGUCAGUUGGAUCCUGUGGAGAGGAGUUAAUACCCGAAGUUUAAAGUUGUCUAUCCGUUGUUUGCUAUUAAAGGUUAUCUCUUUAAUAUUAUGUACGUUAUAUAUUUAUGCAUUGUUCUUUGAUAUUAACCCUUAUUUGUAGCUAUAUGUGAGAUUUGACUUCUAAAAUUCACAUAUGGUGCAUAUCUGGUUUUGUCCUUAAAAUCGGGUAUUACAGUCUGUGACUCAACUAUUUCUCAGCAAAAAGAAAUAAAAAAAACCCAAAAACCCUCCAGCCCGCAUCGUGACCUAGCCCCAGUUCAGGAUUCAGCGGUAGUCCCGUCCGCACGCCGCCACACAGCCCGCACGCCGCUUCCCCUCGCAUCUCCCCGCACAGCGCCGCUUCCCCUCGCGCCUCCAUAGCACGCGCGCCGCCAGCUUCCCCUCACGACCCUCCACCGCAUGGAGGCCGCCCUCCCCCGCCGGACCUUCUCGCGUCGCUCGUCUUGUCGGGCUCUCUGGUGUGGACCAUUCUCGUGCCGCGGCCAUAACUCCUCGGCAGGAAAAUUAGAAAACUAUUUUUUCUGUUGGUAAAUGGAAUUGUAUUGUCGGUGUGGUAACCAACAGGAAAUUUUCAGUUUCCAU